rnacentral:rRNA from 1 species
ACUGGCUCAGGAUGAACGCUAGCGGCAGGCUUAACACAUGCAAGUCGAGGGGCAGCGGGGUGUAGCAAUACAUUGCCGGCGACCGGCGGAUGGGUGCGUAACGCGUAUGCAACCUACCUUAUACAGGGGAAUAACCUUUCGAAAGGGAGACUAACACCCCAUGGUAUUGAUUUAAGGCAUCUUAGAUUAAUUAAAUAUUUAUAGGUAUAAGAUGGGCAUGCGUAUGAUUAGCUAGUUGGUAAGGUAACGGCUUACCAAGGCGACGAUCAUUAGGGGUUCUGAGAGGAAGGUCCCCACACUGGUACUGAGACACGGACCAGACUCCUACGGGAGGCAGCAGUGAGGAAUAUUGGUCAAUGGGCGCAAGCCUGAACCAGCCAUGCCGCGUGCCAGGAAGACGGCCUUAUGGGUUGUAAACUGCUUUUACAUAAGACUAACCGUAUAUUUGCGAAUAUACCUGAAUGUAUUAUGAGAAUAAGGAUCGGCUAACUCCGUGCCAGCAGCCGC